AGCAUAUGAGNGUGUCCACUUUGCAGCAUUUUCUUACCAUUCUGCUUAUUUUGUGCAGCCCAAAGACUGGUAUGCCCAUGAUCUAUGACCCAGUGUUUAAAAACCUACAGUCUAGGGAUAUCGUUUUAACAUUGGCCUUAUGAACGGGGAAUUCUCCGGAC